GGGCGGGGAGAGCGCGGGAGGGGCGGGAAAGGGGAGGCGGUCAGCUUGGUCCCCGCCCGCCGUCCCGCAGGAAGUGCGCCCCCGGCCCUCUGCGGCGGUCGGGCUGGUGUCCAAGCUCCGUACCCCGGAGGCCGGCCUCUUGGGGUCUGCGCGCAGACCCCAGAGCUAAUGUUUAACGGAAAUCAGAGGUGGAAACAGACGUUGGAGGACCCUGUUCUAUUCCAGCCGCGUUUACUGCUGCGCCCAGGGGCAGCCACCCUUGGGGCUGGGGCGGGGGCUUUAGGGACACGCACGUGAGUUGAGAUUUUCUGGCCUCUCAAACCCAAGAUAGAAGGAACUACGAAGCAAGAAUGGCAUAAAAGGUUAUGAGGCUCCUUGAGCACAGAGAACAUCGGGCGGGGAAUUCGAGGAGGCAUUGUGGAUUUCAUCAGAGGCACGCUGAGAUCCCUAUGCCUUCUUGCUGCUGCUGUUCACCGGGUUUAUGCUUUUGGCUGGGCUGGAUUCUGACCUUCGUUAGCAGGAUGGAGAUAGUUAAGGCGUUACUUGGCUAUUUGAAGAUGAAACAAAUGAUACUUUAGCAGGAGGAGAAUGCCAAGAGCUAAAGCUGACCCAAAACAUCUCCCAGGGAUUCACUGAGACCUUCCCUUAUUUCCCCUGGUCUAAAUCAUCCGACCUUAGUCCUCAAGUUAUCAUCUAUUCCCUUCCCCGCACCCCCAAUGUGGGUCUACCUUGGUGGAGGAGAAUAGGACUCAGAGGAUACUGGGAACAAUUUUAAAUACUAAAUCUACCUCACAAGAAUGCCAGUGUCCAGUCCUCUUGGAGUUGAAUAUAAUUAAUACUUCUAUAUUCAAGGGAUGUUUACAACUAUGACAGACCCUGUUGUCUUUCAAUUAAAGCAAAUAGCAUGAAUAUAACUAGACAUGAGAGUUCUACAGAUGUACAACAGAUUUUUUUUUUUAUUGAAUGGUGUUUUUUUUUUUUAACACCCAGGCCACCUUCCCAUAAUCAAGAUCUUAUUUUAUUCAGACUGCACACAGCUUUCUCUUCAGAAUGCCAAGUAAGAGUGAAAAGGGACCAAUAUUUGAAUUCAUGAUUGCAAACUCUAAGUGGGUGACCAUGAGCAAGUCACCUAACCUAAAUGAACCCAUUUCCUAAACCAAAAAGGACAAGAAGCAGGUAAUAAAACUUACUUUACUUGGUGGUUGUGAGAACAAAAUAGCAUUUGCUAUCUAACAUUCCCAGCAAAAUGCUGGCAUGGAUAGAUGUUCCCUAAAUUUUAAUCCCCUUUCUUUCCCUCUGUGCUUUCUCUACUAUUCUUAUGAAAUGAUAAUCAUAAAGCUUUCAUAAAC
ensembl:lncRNA